UUCUUUGAGCAAUGCCGAUAUCGUAGCCAAUGAGGUUCUACCGAGGUGCGAUUUUUGCUAGUUGGGAAAAACUGUCCUAUUUAUUAGUGUAUCAUGUAUUCUACAAGGAAUUCGGAACAGUUUUUUUUCUGAUAAUGAUUUGUAUUA